CGUAGGUGGCAAGCGUUGUCCGGAAUUAUUGGGCGUAAAGCGCGCGCAGGCGGUCCUUUAAGUCUGAUGUGAAAGCCCACGGCUCAACCGUGGAGGGUCAUUGGAAACUGGGGGACUUGAGUGCAGAAGAGGAGAGUGGAAUUCCACGUGUAGCGGUGAAAUGCGUAGAGAUGUGGAGGAACACCAGUGGCGAAGGCGACUCUCUGGUCUGUAACUGACGCUGAGGCGCGAAAGCGUGGGGAGCAAACAGGAUUAGAUACCCUGGUAGCCCACGCCGUAAACGAUGAGUGCUAAGUGUUAGAGGGUUUCCGCCCUUUAGUGCUGCAGCUAACGCAUUAAGCACUCCGCCUGGGGAGUACGGCCGCAAGGCUG
rnacentral:rRNA from 1 species